AACCCAUACAAGUCUGGAGUUUCAAGCAUUUGCCUUUACUGUUAUGCACUACAAUGCGUUUCCCACUAGGCAUCUUUACAAUGGCUCUGUUAGUAGAUGAGUAUGCAAAUUAUAUUUAUCUCCUGUGUGGGCGUCACUCUGGUCUCUCUGCUCUAUGAGUUUGACUAGGGGUUGCCUAGUGGUAGCUCUACCCCUAGGGCACUUCUAAUGAGAUAAUGUCAUUCAUGUAUUUAUUCAACAAGCAUUUAUUGGAGUGGUUAGUAUGUUUAGGCCUUGGAGAGUGGAAGAUGAUAUCAAUCUGAAUAGGACAUGCUACUGUAGCUUGCAGUGUUUGGGGAAAAAUAGACUCAAGUAUACGACAGUGUGCCAUGUGCUUUUUUAAGGUGUUAUACAGAGGAAGGAGUGACGAAGGUCACCUGGAGGAGUUAGAGAAGCAACAGCGUGUCCUAUGUUCUGACAACACUAAACUUCCCAGCACUCUGCAGUACCUCCAUGCCUUUGUGCUUCUGGAUCCCUCUGCCUAGCCAUCUUCCCUUCUUCCCUGUUCUUGGCAGAAUCACGCCCGUAUUUUAAGGCUGUGGCAGACCCGGGCUAAGAUGGAGAAACUGAGGCCUAAGGAGGUUCAGGGCCAUCCUCCAGGUCACAUGACUAGAACGUCAUACAGCUGGGUAUGUUGAACUCAUUCAGUUCUGACGUCACUGCCUGCAUGUUUCACCACCAUGCUUAUCUGCCUCUCACUGUGCAAUAAUGUUAUAAUUCUUCCCCAUUAGAGGGCUGGUGAGACCAGCGUAUUUCUCCAAAAUAAGCCCGUGAAAGCAUCCUCUGACUCCUGACAAGGCCCAGUGGAGCGGCUCUACCACUUGGAGCAUCAAGCCUCUUCCUCCCUUGAAGAAUGUGCCUCAUGUUCCUACCCACAGGCUUGGACCUGGGGUGCUCCGUGUGUGGCCUGCCCCUGGAUUCUUUGUCUCCACAGGUAGCAUGAGCUCCUGCAGGUAGGCCAGCAGCUGGACAGGUUGGUUUUUGACUGGGGGGUGACCGGAUGACGAGCAUCUGAAAGUUGCAGUGAAAUUACCCGUUGGCUAGAGGUGAGAAUUCCAUCACUGCCCUCCAUUUCUGUUCUGGGAAGGUGGGUAGUCUGGUGGCAGGGAGACGAUCUUGUAACACAUGCCCGCCCAGUUCUACCUGAAUGUGAGAUGUACUGGGUGGCAGUGGAGAGGUGGAUAUACCUCGAACGUGUUGCGUAGAGCCCCCUGGAAGCAGCUCAGUAAAGGCUCCAGUUCUGAGGUGAAGUGUCUGGGCGGACACUGGAGGCUGAAGCUGCCCUUACCUAACUUUGGUGAGUAUAUUCAGAAUGUUCCAGAGCAGUGGUCCCGGACCUGCAGCAUCACCAUAGCCUGGGAGCUUUCUAGAACCACAACUUCUGGGCUCCUCCCCAGCCCUGCAGCUUCAGAAACUCUAGGGUUGGGCUCCAGAAAUCUAAGCUCUAACAAGCUCUCCAGGUGAUUCUGGUGCAGGCUCAAGUUUGAGAACCACUGGUCCAGAGCAAGAACUGGAUUUUAUAGUUCUUAUUGUAAAAUCAGAAAUUCAAAAUAUUUUAUUAUUUCACUUAUUACGGACUUAUGAUAGAAAUCCUACAAUGUGCUUUUAGGAAAAUUAGGAAUAGCAAAAGGAAAAGUUAACAAAAUUGCCCACAAAUCUUCUCUCUUAGCAGGAGAAAAGCAUGAUUAGGGUUUUGGUGUGUUUCUCUUUAGCCCGUUUCCUGCAAAAAUCCUAAUAAAGUUAUCACUAGUUUGCCUUCAUUUGGGUGAGUUAAUGUGAGAAUCACCUCCUGGAUUCAGGCGAGAAGAGGGGAAAGAUAAGGUUGAGACAGCUGGCUCAGUGGUGGAGUCGGGAUCCCCGAUGGGGAUGGGGAGUGUGUGGCUCAAGGCCUCUGUGCCCGCCUUCAUGGAGCCCUGGGGCCGGUGGGGCUUGUCGAGCUGCCCCAGAGGCUGCGGCUCUCGGCUACUCUAAUCCACCUGUGAAUACGGUGCCCCCUUUAUCAUUCUUGUUAGACGGGAUCAGAUUUAUGUCAGCUCAGAAAUCAUUCCAAUGAUCAAAAUAUGUGGAGGGCUGUCAGAGGGAAGAGGGAUUAAUCUCUCUGAUUACAGGAGAAGUGGAGGCCCUUUCAGGGAGGGAAGGAAGCGGGGUGGGUGCGGGAUGGGGUACAUCUUAACUUGGGGUCAGGAAGAGUCUCGAGAUCAGAAUUAAGUGAGAUGGCAGGACUGCCUAAUGAAGGGGAGGGCUCAUGGCCUGAGACCUGCUCGUUCUGAGGAUGAGUUGCACACAGGCAGCCUGCAAGGAAACGAAGCCUGCAGUGUGUCCUGCACGGCCAGCACAGUGCUGACGUUUAACGUCCAGACAUUCCACUGCAGAUCAGGGUAUCUGGUGUCUCUGCAAAACAAGGCGCUCUGGAAACACAGCAGCCAUCUUCCCACAAGGCAGCAAGCAGGGGGAGAUGAGCAGUGGCUGCCCCCUCAGAUGAGGCAUGAGCCCCCCAAUUUGCCCCUUUCCCUCAUCACCCCCUCUGCUCCAUACACUCUUGUUUCCCUGAGUUUGAGUGACAGCUGUCAGUUAGUAUUUCAUUCGUGGUUGUGUUUUCUGACACACCGCCUCCUUGCUGUAUUCAUGUCAAUGAUAAGUAGUAUAAUGUAGUAUUUAAGAGUGCAGAUUCUAGAUCUCAAUUGCUUGGGUUUAGAUCCUGCUCCUGUCUCUCACUGGCUGUGUGACUUUGGGCUAGUUAUUUAACCCGUGUGUGCGUUGUAUUUCCUCAACUUUAAAAUUCAUAAGACAAGGUUGCUAUGAGGAAUUAAUAGGUUAAUCCAGGUGGGAUACAUAGAAUAGUGUCUGGUGGUUAGUCACUAUCCAACUAAAGCUCUACUUAUUAGUGCUAGUGAUCAUAGUUACUACUGCUAGUCAUCAGUUACGUUAUAUACCGGCCACAUCCACAUGUGAGUUACUACUGGUUUAGUGUUCCUUUAGAGCAUCUCUCGUGCUUCCAUACCAUGGGCCCAAAGUCUUCGGAACACAGGGUUUGGGGCACUUUUCCGUCUGGAAUAGAUAUUUGAGACAGGGAGGUUCUGGGCUCCUGGCCAUAUGGAGGCUUCUAGCUGAAUUCAUUCAGAAAUAGUGCUAUCCUCCUUGGCUGGUUGGGACCCUGGUGGGAGCCCUGCAGUCUACCUGUGCAGAGCUGGUGGGAGUGGCAGCAUGGUCAUGUGUGCAUGCGUGUGUGUGUGUGUGUAUGUGCGCAAAAGUGCUUUGCAGAGCAGUCAGUGGACAGUGCAGCAGUGGGGUAAAGAGUCUGUGCUCUAGAGCUGGGUGGCCUCAUUUCAUUCCAGCUCCUCUUUUCCUGGCUGUGACCUGGGGCAAGUCCCUUCGCCACUCUGAGGGUCAGCUUCGCCUCCAUAAAAUGAACACGGUGGUAACUCAGCAGCACAGGCCAUUAUUGAAGGAGGCAGUGUGCGUGUACCAGGCUGGCACACUGCAGACGCUGCAGUUUCGUGCCCUUUCCCUUCUAUUUUCCUAAGGGAAAUGAAGGGCUUGCCAUAGCAUGAGCUUGAACUUAAGCUUGCCAUGUACUGAGAAGGAGCAGAUGGUCCUCAUUUCAGAUCAUCUGGGAGCCUGGGAAAACCAGCUGAUUACUCAGUGUGAGCGCCAGCACGGUCACACGCUCUGAGUCCAGGCACCUGUCUUGAGCUCCUAGGAGCAGAGCUCCAUCCCAGCCCCGACCCCAAGCAAAUGUGCUGCCCCCAGAGCGUGGAGCAGUGCUGCAGUGGCAGUCCUGUGGACUGAACGCAUAAAUGGAUGGCACUCUCACUGUCGGUGACAGACCGGGGGCCGGAGGCGGGACGACAAUGACAGACGGACGGGGGACUCUCAUCCUAAACAUGGGCACCUUCCCUUCCCCAACCCGUUCAUCCAGCAGGCAUGAAUGGCGGGACCAGCAUAGGAAUGGCCUUUGGAGUCUGAAAUGACGGAUUCGGAUAUCUGGCACUCUGUGUAACUCUGGGCAGACCCAUGAGCAGUCUGAGCCUCAGUUUCCCCUUUGCAAAAUGGAAAUUGGACAGUCAAACUGUUGUGGCGAUUAAACACAAUUUGAGGACAAGGCCUGGAACAUCAUAAUUGCUCAAUUAAUAUUAGUUUCCUUUUCCCCUUCCUCUAAUUGUUUUAAAGUGAAGGAAGUGUUUUGGCCUUUGAAAAAAAUCACUUUAUACAUGAAUUAGAUAUUAAAGAAGCUCAUGGUUAAAUACAUCCAUGUCAUCAUAAACUCACUUCAUUCAUCCAUCCAUUCGCUCAUUUUUUUGUUUCAUUUAUUCACUCAAUCAUUCCUUUAAUAGGGACGCCAUUUAUAUGACACCCUUUCUACCAGCACCCUUUAUACAACAAGCCCCUACGAGGCACUAGGGAUGUGAAAAUUAAUAAUACAAAAUUCUUUGCUUGAGGACUUUACAUUCUUUUGAGGGAGACGGAGAAUAGUUACCUAUGCCCUAACUUCAUAUGGUGAGAUAUGCAACUUGCCACUGUUGCAUUAUGGCAUCUGUCCUUGCCUCAUGCAAUCUGUUCCCACUCCUUGUUCGCUCGCCUCCCACCCAGGCAUUAGAUGUGGACACCUUGCAGAGGCUACUUGUUGGUAAAAUGCUCUGUCUGGGCUGAUGGUACAGUUUGAUGAGGUUAAUAGUGAGAUUGCCACUUCCCUUGGCUCCUUCAGGGGUGAACACCAGGCCCCUCCAGCGAGGGAAAGGAGAAUACCAUCCAACUGUUCAUCCCUCCAUUCUUAUAGCAUAGGGACCGAGAGUGAAGAUUCUGGAGCCAGACUGCCUUGGGUCAAAUCCUGGCUCUGCUGCUUAUGAGCUGCAUGAUUUGCAUGAAAUUGCUGAACCAUUCUGGGCCUUGCUUUACUAAUCUACAAAAUGGGGUAGUAAGAGUACUUAAGUGGUUGUAUUGGCUAUCUAUUGCUGUGUAACAUAUUACCCCAAAACUCAGUGGCUUGAAAAACAUUUACCAUCUCACAGUUUUCGUGGGUCAAGGGCUUAGGCACGGCCCAUGUGGGUCCUCUGGCUCUGGGCCUCUCUCAAGGCUGCAGUCACGGGCUCAGCUGUGGCUGCACUGACUUGAAGGCUUGAGGUGGGUCAGGUUCCAAGCUCACUCAAGGCGGUGUUGUCAGGAUACAGUUGCUUUCCGAUGGUUGGGUCUGAGUUCCAGCUCUCAGUUACUCCCACGCUGUUGUCCAGGAGCUUCCCAUGGUCCCUCGCCAUAUGGAUCUCUGCGUAAGGCAGCUCGCAGCGUGUCAGUUUGAUGAUCAGAGAGAGCAAGGGAGAGGAAAAGAGAGAAUGCCAGCCAGCCGGAAGUCCUAGUCUUUUGUCACCUAACCUCAGAGGUGGCAUCCUAUCACUUUUGUGUAUUCUGUUCAUUAGAAGUAAGUCACCAGGUCCAGCCCACACUCAGGGGAGGGGAUUAGACAUGGUGUGACUGCCAGAAGGCGCGAGGGAUCCACGGGAGCCUGUCGGAAACUGCCUCUCACAGUGGUUGUGAGGAUUAAAUGAGUUAUGCGUGUGAAGCAUUUUGAGGAGUGUCAGGGACAUAGUUCACACUUAAUAACUCUUAGCUUAUUGUUAUUACUAACAUUAUUAUUUAUGUCAUUUUUUUCAACAAGUAUUCAUUGUUGCCUACUAUAUCAAAGUCCCCAUCUUCAUUGCUAGUGGAAUUACUAGAGGUGUAACUAGGAGCACAUGAAUUAUAAGUGGAUCCUUCCUCAAAGAACACCCAGUGCCCUGGGGUAUGGAUGUUCAUUUGAAAAACAAAGACCACAGAGUAGAAAAUGAUUGUCCUAUAGUCAGGGGAGGGUAGGGAGGCGGAGCUGGAAGGCCCUGGAUGUGCACAGGGAUUAGCAAUGGCUCAGUUUGCCUGGAAAGCAGGACACUUGAAGGUUGGAAAAUUAGGUUAGUGCCAGAUUGUGACAGCAGUGUGGAGUCCCUCUCCUGUGAAGUGAGAAGCCAGGAAGGACUUUUAAGCUGAGCAAUGUCGUAGGAUAGCUGUAUGGCCUGGAGGGGAGGGGACAAGGUGGAAGGCUCUGGAGCUACCUAUUAAAGUUCAGAAAAGAGGUUAUCUUCUUGGUCACAACAAUCCAAUGGAAAGGAAAUCCAGCGCGAGAAGCCAGUCUAUUUCUCCUUCAAUUCCCUUCUCCAAGUUGUGCCCAUAAGAGACCCCAUUCUCUCCCGCCUAGUCUGAGUACUGCUUAGCUCCUGGAAAACAGUUGUAAGAACUCAGGGCUAAUGUUAAUGAGUCUGAUGCCAGUGCCUUGUUCUGACCUUGGGCACAUCAUUUAACCCUUUGCACCUCAAUUUCCUCAUAUGAAGAUGGGACGAUGUUGCUGACCUUGAAUACUUGACAGUUACACACACACACACACACACACACACACACACAAAUGCUACUAUUUACUGAGUACUUCUUAAGAACUCAACAGUUUUGUGGGCUUUUAUCAUCCCCAUUCUACAGGUGAGGAAACUGACACUCAGAAAGGUUCAUUGAGUGACUUGCUAAUAAUUGGCAGAGCACGACCCCAGGCUAUUUGGCUUCAUAGCCCAUGGCCUCAACAAUCUGCUGGAGCGCCAGUGUCUGAAUGCUUAAUAAGUGGCCCUUCCUUCUCAGCAAACGAGCUCUCAGAGGCAUGGAAAAGUCUGUCUUCCUGAGGAUUACACAUACAAGAUGGCUUGCUUGUAGGGCAGGGGCCAGCUCAGACCUGCCUCAGCUCCUUGCCCAGCUCUGACCAGAGAUGAGGCUCUUAUCCAUACUUGUUCCACGACUGAAGGAAUUUGAAAUUUAUAUAUUCUCCAUUUUUCUCCAUAAUCUGUCGGCCUCUCUUUUUGAGAAGUCACCUUUAAAUCUCUCUGAGCUGUCUUUAUCUAAAUACCAUUUUAUCAGUCAUCGAGCCAUUAGUUGGUACUACUGUAUCUGACUCUAGAUCUGGUGAGACAUCAGAGGGCCCUGUGUGGUCUCCAGGACCGUUUGUGCUCAAGCCAUUUCUAACUGCCCUCUGUGGUGUCCCGGGUAGCAUCACAGGGCAUGGAGGCCCGAAGCUGCCUGGCCACAUUCCAGGACCACAUCCUGGGAAGGCCUCGGUGACAACAUGAAAAUGAUGUUGAAAUCGAGGCUCAGAAACUACAUGAUGCAAGUUCCUCCAGAGAGGUUCUUCAGUCUGGAUUUCAGGAUGGAAAAUGUGUCCUGACUGAGAAGCCAGCAAAGGAAGGUGCUGGAUUCUGAAAGCUCAGGUGGCAGAGAAACUCUCCCCUCUGAGGGUCCUUCAGUGACUGAGGACCAUGUUCCAAGAACACAGCAUGGGAUUUGUUGUCUGCAGGCGAGAUAUAAGAGUGGUUAUCUGUGAGAGGGGGCAUUACAAACAAUUUCUAUUUCUGUUGUGUAUUUUUUUUAUUUUCCAAAUUUUCUAUAAUGAAUGUGUUAUUUUAUAUGCCUUAACAAAAAAUUGUGAUUAGAAAAAUUGCCAUUUAAAAAAAUUGUAGAGGCUGACCUGGUGGUGUAGUGGUUACAUUUGCAUGCUCUGUUUCGGUGGCCCAGGGUUCACCAGUUUGGAUCCUGGACGCAGACCUACAUACCACUCACCAAGCUACGCUGAGGCAGCAUCCCACAUAGAAGAACUAGAAGGACCUCCAACUAGGAUAUACAACUAUGUAUCGGGGAGCUUUGGGGAGAAAGAAAAGAAAGAGGAAGAUUGGCAACAGAUGUUAGCUCAGGGCCAAUCUUUCUCACCAAAAAGCAGAAAAAAUUUUUUUUACAUUUCUGGUCCUUAAAUAACUUGUAAUAGGAAAUCACUGACAUAUUCAAAAUUAUAGAAUCACAUGAAAUUACCAUAAUGAUAAUUUUAGACUUAAUGUACCCAAACCAAAUGCUUAUUUAUUUGUUCCUUUCUCUUCCCAAAUGUCCUCCAACACUGGCUUCCCCAUUUCAGUAAGGAGCUGCUCCCAUUCACCCCGUUGCUCAGGUCAGAGGCCUGGAAUCAUCCAUGACCUCUUCUCUCACCAUGUGUAUCCAGUAACACAGCAGUGAAUCCUGUCUUCUCUGCUUUUGAAAAAUAUCCAGAAGACUUCUUUCCACUGUAACCACACUGGUCUGAGCCAGCAUCAUUUCUCCCCCAGAGUAUUGUGGAGCCUUCUAAUGGGUGAUCUGCCCCGCCCCCAACUUAUUCUUUGCAUGGCGGGGAGAGAGACUUUCUAAAUGUCCCUUCUCUGUCAGAUCUCUCUAUGGAUUCUCAUCUCACCCAGAAUAAAACUCACACAUUAAAUAGCUUCAAAAACAUGAUUUUAAAAAAUGGCUACGUGGGCUGAGUAGUACGAUAUAGGAAGAUAAUUUAUUUACCUAUGAGUGGACCCCCUGUAUUUAUUAAUAGCAUGCCAUGAUUCGCAUAAACAGUGUCUUUCUUUACAUCUCAGAUCAUUUAUCGAAGAUGGAUUCUUAGAGGUAGAACUAUUAAAUAAAGGUAACUAAAUAAAAGAAACUUGUCUGGUUUCAUUAGGGAAGAAGUUGAAUAAUGCUGCCAGUUUAAUUUCUGGAAAGUUUGUUCCAGUUUAUAUUUCCACCAAAUGCGUAUAAGGGUAUCUGGAAAACCAUACCCUCAGCAGCAGUGAAUUUUACAGGUUUGUCCUGUAUUCCAACGUCAUCAUUUAAAAUCUUAACUUCAUAAUUUAAAAUAUUAUAUUUAUUUGUUUUAAUUGCAUUUAUUUUAUUACAAGUGGCUCAUUUAUCUUUUUU
rnacentral:lncRNA from 1 species